AUGCCGGACCCGUGGUGGCUGGCCACCACCACCACGGCCUGCUCCCCGCCGCCCUCCGCUUCCGGCGCCGACCUCCUCGCCUUCCUCCUCCUCACCCCCUGCCCGCAGCGCGCGCUCCUCGCCGCCCUCGACCUCCUCUUCCUCCUCGCCGCCCUCGCCCUCUCCCUCCGCGCCCGCCUCCAUCUCCACCACCGCCGCGCGCGCCAGGAUCAGCAUCAGCACGAGGUGGAGCCCCUGCUCGCGAAGCCGGCACCGGCCCGGUCCCACGGGAGGGGGUUCCGCCACAGGCUCGCGCUGGGGGCCUCCUCGGCGCUCGCCGCCGCGUCGCUCGUGCUGCUCGCGCUCGCCUUCCUGCUGCUCCCCGCGAAGGGGUACAGCAGCGACUGGACCGCGCUCCAGCGCGCCUUCCUCGCGGCGCAGCUCCUCGCGCACCUCGCCGCCGCGGGGACAGUCGCGGCGGAGAAGCCCGGGGCCGCGCGCGCCCACCCGACGCACCUGCGCCUCUUCUGGCUCGCCACCGCGCUGCUCGCCGCGCUCUUCUCCGGCUCCGCGGCCGCGCGCUUCGUCGCAGGUCAGACCGUCCUCCCCGACGACCCCAUCGCGUUCGCCGGGCUCGUGCUCUCGCUCCCUCUGCUCUACUUCGCGGUCGACGGCUCCAGCGGCCUCGGUGAAUCAGCGGCGGCCACUAGCGAGGAGGAACCAAGCGGUGCCUCUGAGGCGGCGACUUCCUACGCCACGGCGUCGUGGCUCUCGCUGGCGACCUUCAGCUGGAUCACCCCGCUCAUCACCAAGGGCUACAGAGCGACUCUCGGCGCCGAAGACGUCCCGCCGGUGGCGCCCUCCGAUACCGCCGAGGCCGCGUACGCUCUGUUCGUCUCCAACUGGCCGGCGCCCCCCGCGCCAGGGUCCAAGGCCGGGCACCCGGUGAUCACCGCGCUGCUGCGGUCCUUCUGGCCGCAGUUCCUGCUCACCGCCGCGCUGGGCGUGGCGCACCUCUCGGUCAUGUACAUCGGCCCGUCGCUCGUGGACAGGUUCGUCCAGUUCGUUCGCCGCGGCGGAGACGUGACGGAGGGGCUGCAGCUGGUCGGCAUCCUCCUCGCCGGCAAGGCCGCCGAGACUCUCGCGUCGCACCACUACGAGUUCCAGGGGCAGAAGCUGGGGAUGCGCAUCCAUGCUGCUCUGCUCGCCGUGGUGUACCGCAAGUCGCUGCGGCUGUCCACGGGCGCGCGGCGCGCGCACGGCGCCGGCACGAUCGUGAACUACAUGGAGGUGGAUGCCGAGGAGGUGUCCAAUGUCACGCACGAGCUCCACAACCUGUGGCUGAUGCCGCUGCAGAUCGCCGUCGCCCUCGCCCUGCUCUACACCCACCUCGGCCCAUCUGUGCUCACCGCGGUCGCCGCGAUCGCUGUGGUGACCGUGGUCGUGGCCCUCGCCAACCGGCGUAACAUGGAGUACCAGUUCAAGUUCCUCAGCAAGCGCGAUGAGCGCAUGAAGGCCAUCACCGAGUUGCUCAACUACAUGCGCGUGAUCAAGCUGCAGGCAUGGGAGGAGACGUUUGGUUCCAAGAUUAGUGAGCUCAGGGAGGCUGAGCUUGGGUGACUUGCCAAGUCCAUGUACUUCAUGUGUGCCAACACCAUCGUGCUCUGGAGCGGCCCGCUUGCCAUGACCGUGCUCGUGUUCGGCACCUGCGUGCUGACAGGUGUCAAGCUCGACGCUGGCAAGGUGUUCACAGCCACCGCGUUCUUUCGGAUGCUCGAUGGACCUAUGCAGAGCUUCCCGGAGGCGAUCGCCGCUGUGACGCAGGCGACCGUGUCGCUUGGAAGGCUUGACAGGUAUCUGCUUGAUGCAGAGCUCGCUGACACUACAGUGGAGCAUGUCCUUGAUGCUGAUACUGGCCCGGACCGAGUGGUCGUGGAGGUGCACGAUGGCAUGUUCGCGUGGGACGUGAGGGGCAAGAAGGAGAAUGAAAAGGAAGAAGAGGAAAAUGAUGACAGUGAAGGUGAGGAGGAUGAGAGAAUUGUGGAGGAGGCACCAGUGCUAGAGACAGUGCUGAAGGGGAUUAGUAUGACGGUGAGGAAAGGCGAGCUUGCGGCGGUGGUUGGAAUGGUCGGGUCCGGCAAGUCGUCACUGCUCUCCUGCAUUAUGGGGGAGAUGGACAAGGUCUCAGGCAAAGUAAGGGUAUGUGGUAGCACUGCAUAUGUUGCACAGACAGCUUGGAUCCAAAAUGGGACCAUUCAAGAGAAUAUCUUAUUCGGUCAGCCAAUGGAUGCUGAAAGAUACAAGGAGGUUACACGAUCUUGCUGUCUGCAAAAGGAUUUGGAAAUGAUGGAAUUUGGUGACCGGACUGAAAUAGGAGAGAGAGGGAUCAAUCUCAGUGGUGGGCAGAAACAGCGCAUUCAGCUUGCCAGAGCAGUUUAUCAGAAUUGCGAUGUAUAUCUCCUUGAUGAUGUCUUCAGUGCUGUUGAUGCUCACACUGGUUCCUAUAUCUUUAAGGAAUGUCUAAGGGGGCUGCUCAAGGGAAAGACCAUCUUGCUUGUUACUCACCAAGUGGAUUUCUUGCAUAAUGUGGACAACAUAUUUGUCAUGAAAGAUGGUAUGAUUGCACAGUCAGGAAAGUUUGACGAGUUACUAGAGGCAGGCUCAGGCUUUUCAGCUCUUGUUGCUGCUCAUGAUAGUUCAAUGGAACUGGUGGAACAGAGUCGACAAGUAGAGAAGACUGAACAUUCUCAGCCUGCAGUAGUCAGAAUCCCAUCUCUUCGCUCUAGAUCCAUUGGAAAGGGUGAGAAGGUGAUCGUUGCACCAGAAAUAGAAGCAGCUACUUCUAAGAUUAUACAAGAAGAGGAAAGAGAGAGUGGCCAAGUAAGUUGGCGUGUGUACAAGCUAUACAUGACAGAGGCUUGGGGUUGGUGGGGAGUUGUGGGCAUAUUUGGAUUAUCAUUGGUGUGGCAAGCUUCUGAUAUGGCUAGUGACUAUUGGCUGUCAUAUGAAACAUCAGGCGGCAUCCCAUUUAAUCCUUCACUGUUUAUCGGAGUGUAUGUUGCCAUAGCUGGUGUUUCAAUGGUACUCCAAGUAAUCAAGACUUUUCUUGAGACGGUUAUGGGACUUCAAACAGCUCAGAUCUUUUUCAGGAAGAUGUUUGACAGCAUUUUGCAU
rnacentral:rRNA from 1 species